GACGAACGCUGGCGGCGUGCUUAACACAUGCAAGUCGAACGGAAAGGCCCCCAUCUUGGUGGGGGUGCUCGAGUGGCGAACGGGUGAGUAACACGUGGGUGAUCUGCCCUGUACUUCGGGAUAAGCUUGGGAAACUGGGUCUAAUACCGGAUAGGACCAUGGUUUAGUGUCUCAUGGUGGAAAGAUUAUUGUUUUGGUGCAGGAUGAGCUCGCGGCCUAUCAGCUUGUUGGUGGGGUAAUGGCCUACCAAGGCGUCGACGGGUAGCCGGCCUGAGAGGGUGGACGGCCACAUUGGGACUGAGAUACGGCCCAGACUCCUACGGGAGGCAGCAGUGGGGAAUAUUGCACAAUGGGCGCAAGCCUGAUGCAGCGCCGCCGCGUGGGGGAUGACGGCCUUCGGGUUGUAAACUCCUUUCGUUAGGGACGAAGCCGCACUUUUUUUGGGUGUGGUGACGGUACCUUUGUUAAGAAGCACCGGCUAACUACGUG
rnacentral:rRNA from 1 species